AUGCACGCUGCCCUCCGCAAGGUCGGGGACGUGCCACGGGACCAGCUCGACGAGCAAGUCAAGCUCUGGGCAAAUGAGGUCAGAGAUCUUUCAUACAGAAUGGAGGAUACCAUCGACAAGUUCCUGGUAGGUGUCGAGGGCCCUGAGCUUGACGACAAGCCGUACAAGCUCAAACAACUCAUCAAGAAGAUGGGCGACUUGUUCACCAAGGGGAAGACACGCCAUGUCAUCGCAAAAGAGAUCAAACGCAUCAAGGCCCGCGUCCAGGGGGCUGCUGACCGGCGUGAUAGGUACAGGGUCCACGAGGUGGUUGCUAAUCCAGUUGGCGGAACCACGGUGGAGCCUCGCCUGUUGGCUCUAUACAAGGAUAGGAAAGAGCUUGUUGGCAUUGAUGAUUCAUUGAAUGAGCUGACCAAGAAGCUGAGUGUCGGGGAUGGUGAUGUGUCCAAACAACUCAAGAUACUCUCUGUUUUCGGAUUUGGAGGCCUUGGCAAGACAACUCUUGCCAAUGCAGUGUAUCAUAAGCUCAAAGUGCAGUUUGAUUGCAGCGCUUUUGUUCCAGUAGGACGGAACCCUAGCAUGAAGAAACUUCUCAAUGACAUUCUCUUUGGAAUUGACAAGAAAAUGUACCUUGAGUUGGAUGAAAGGCAGCUGAUCGACAAACUCCGUGUAUUUCUCGAGGACAAGAGGUACUUGAUUGUCAUUGAUGACAUAUGGGAUAAAAAAACAUGGGAGCUAGUCAAGACAGCUUUGGUGUGUAAUAAUUGUGGAAGUAGGAUAAUCACAACUACUCGUAUACUCGAAGUCGCCACAAGGGCCGGUGAAGUAUACAGGCUACAACCACUUUCUCGUUAUUUAUCUGAGGAUUUAUUUGAUAGAAUAUUAUUUGGUGGUACAAUAAAACGUCCUAAUCAUCUCCCAGCAGAGGUAUAUGAUAAAAUUUUACAUAAAUGUGGGGGUGUGCCAUUGGCUAUAAUCACAAUAGCUAGUUUGCUCGUCAAUAAACCAGUGGAGCUUUGGUCGAAGGUAUACACAUCAAUCGGUUUUGGGCAUGAAGAAAACGAAGAAGUGGAGAACACGAGGAAAAUACUUUUAUUCAGCUAUUAUGAUCUACCUUAUCACCUGAAGACUUGUUUAUUGUAUUUGAGCAUAUACCCCGAAGAUCAUCUGAUUGAAAAAGAUAGUCUGAUAUGGAAGUGGUUUGGUGAAGGUUUUAUCCAUGAAGAACCAGGUGUAGGACUAUUCGAGAUUGGUGAGAGGUACUUCAACGGGUUGGUAAACAGAAGCAUGAUAAUACCAGUAGAGACCCUGGAUUUUGGCAUGGAAAUGCAUGAUGGCAUCAUAACUGGAUGUCGCGUCCAUGACAUAAUGCUUGAUAUGAUAUGUCUAUUAUCAAAGGAAGAAAACUUUGUUACUGUAUUGGACAGUAACGAGCAAUAUACAACUUUACAUUGCAAUGCUCAUAGGCUAGGUGUUCAUCGCAGGGUCCAACCUCUGGCUAGCACAUCCACGUUCCAUGCAAGAUCACUUGAUGCCAUGUGCAAUGUUGAGUUAUCGCCAUCACAUUCAUGCUUUGAAGUUUUGCGUGUCCUAGCUUUGGAAGGCAACAAUUUUUCAAACAAAUGUAACCAUCUUGACCAUGUUGGAAAGUUAGUUCACUUGAGGCACCUCAGAGUAGCGAGCAUGGGUAUAUGUGAGCUCCCAAAGGAAAUAGGACAUCUAAAUUUCUUGCUGGUAUUGGAUUUGGGUGGAAAUAGAAUAAGAAAACUUCCAGAGAGUAUUGGUCGACUAAGUCAACUCAAGUGCUUGAACAUCUGCAAAACAAAUGUUGAAGUGCCAUACUGGAUCGGAAAUUUGACAUCUCUCGAAGAGCUAUGCCUACAAAAAAUUAAUAUGGACUCGAACUUUGUGACAGAGUUGGGCAAGCUAACAGAGUUGAGGAAGCUCCGCAUUUCUGAAGGUUUAGUUAUUUAUGAUGAUACUGCACUGAAUAGUUGGGCAAAGUCUGUAGCCAAAGUGAGCAAGAUCCAAGUCAUAGACAUUGGUUUUGUACUCGUGUAUAGACGUUCCAGUCAUGCCGACAACCCCUGGGAACAGAAUGUCCUUCCUCCACAACUUUGUGUUCUACACAUGGCCUACGAAGAACCUGGGCUAGUGGCAAUGAUCAAUCCACGGGUUCUUCCGAACCUGUCCCGUUUAAAACUGUAUCUAUUUAGUCCAGAACUGGAGGUCUUCGGAUGUUUCCGAGAGCUCGUUACCCUCGAGCUGAAAAUGGUGUCAGCUCUCCACCAUGACACUAUGGGUGGUGCAGAUGCUUUCCCCAAGCUGAGAGUCUUCAAGACACAAGCAACGCUUGGCUCGUUUCAAGAGGGAGAUAUGCCGGUCCUUGAAUUUCUCCGGUUCAGCGCCGUAGCACAGUCCAAUGAUGAUGACGUUAGCUUUGACUUUGACUUUGGUAGCCUAGGGAACCUUCCUCUGCUCCAGGAGGUCACGGUAGAUUUAUUCGUUAGUGCUGAUCACAAGAAGGCCGAGGAAACGGCGAAGAAUGCAAUUGAUAUGCUUCCCAACCGUAUCACACAUUAUAUCAUACCAAAGUCCCAAGCGAGCAAUUGA
rnacentral:rRNA from 1 species